GUUGAUGAAGUUGGGCACAUAACUAAGAACAGUAAGAAGAUGUAAAAGGGUUAUGACCUUGUUGGAUUUUCAAGAAUUAUAUGGCUAUAUGCUACUUUUUCACAUCUAAGCUCCAAUUAUAAUGUACAAAGAAAUCAGAUCAUCAAAUUAACAGCCAGUAUAAAUUAAUUGUAUGUUUACAUGUCUAAUUUUAGUGGAUAAGUGUUCAAGUUCCUCAAACACAGGCUAGGGAGCUCCGGGAAAGAAAGGAUGAAUAGGGAUUGAUUUGAGACAUGCAAAACUACUUGCGGCAGACAAAAUCUUCACAAAGUGAAUUAAACAAGUUGACUUCAGGGGCAGAGGAAGGGGAGGCUGGGGGGAGCCUUGGCCCCCCAAACCUUCUAAAA
rnacentral:misc_RNA from 1 species